rnacentral:rRNA from 1 species
GAUGAACGCUGGCGGCGUGCCUAAUACAUGCAAGUCGAGCGAACGGACGAGAAGCGUGCUUCUCUGAUGUUAGCGGCGGACGGGUGAGUAACACGUGGAUAACCUACCUAUAAGACUGGGAUAACUUCGGGAAACCGGAGCUAAUACCGGAUAAUAUUUUGAACCGCAUGGUUCAAAAGUGAAAGACGGUCUUGCUGUCACUUAUAGAUGGAUCCGCGCUGCAUUAGCUAGUUGGUAAGGUAACGGCUUACCAAGGCAACGAUGCAUAGCCGACCUGAGAGGAUGAUCGGCCACACUGGAACUGAGACACGGUCCAGACUCCUACGGGAGGCAGCAGUAGGGAAUCUUCCGCAAUGGGCGAAAGCCUGACGGAGCAACGCCGCGUGAGUGAUGAAGGUCUUCGGAUCGUAAAACUCUGUUAUUAGGGAAGAACAUAUGUGUAAGUAACUGUGCACAUCUUGACGGUACCUAAUCAGAAAGCCACGGCUAACUACGUG